UUCCUUGUAGCUCAGUCGGUAAAGCACGAGACUCUUAAUCUCAGGGCUGUGGGUUUGAGUCCCAGUUUGGGCAA
rnacentral:tRNA from 1 species